GGUUUACCUGUGUGACUGCGUACCUUUUGUAUAAUGGGUCAGCGACUUAUAUUCUGUAGCAAGGUUAACCGUAUAGGGGAGCCGGAGGGAAACCGAGUCUUAACCGGGCGUUAAGUUGCAGGGUAUAGACCCGAAACCCGGUGAUCUAGCCAUGGGCAGGUUGAAGGUUGGGUAACACUAACUGGAGGACCGAACCGACUAAUGUUGAAAAAUUAGCGGAUGACCUGUGGCUGGGGGUGAAAGGCCAAUCAAACCGGGAGAUAGCUGGUUCUCCCCGAAAGCUAUUUAGGUAGCGCCUCGUGAACUCAUCUCCGGGGGUAGAGCACUGUUUCGGCUAGGGGGCCAUCCCGGCUUACCAACCCGAUGCAAACUGCGAAUACCGGAGAAUGUUAUCACGGGAGACACACGGCGGGUGCUAACGUCCGUCGUGAAGAGGGAAACAACCCAGACCGCCAGCUAAGGUCCCAAAGUCAUGGUUAAGUGGGAAACGAUGUGGGAAGGCCCAGACAGCCAGGAUGUUGGCUUAGAAGCAGCCAUCAUUUAAAGAAAGCGUAAUAGCUCACUGGUCGAGUCGGCCUGCGCGGAAGAUGUAACGGGGCUAAACCAUGCACCGAAGCUGCGGCAGCGACACUCAGGUGUUGUUGGGUAGGGGAGCGUUCUGUAAGCCUGUGAAGGUGUGUCGUGAGGCAUGCUGGAGGUAUCAGAAGUGCGAAUGCUGACAUAAGUAACGAUAAAGCGGGUGAAAAGCCCGCUCGCCGGAAGACCAAGGGUUCCUGUCCAACGUUAAUCGGGGCAGGGUGAGUCGACCCCUAAGGCGAGGCCGAAAGGCGUAGUCGAUGGGAAACGGGUUAAUAUUCCCGUACUUGGUGUUACUGCGAAGGGGGGACGGAGAAGGCUAUGUUGGCCGGGCGACGGUUGUCCCGGUUUAAGCGGGUAGGUGUGUGUUCCAGGUAAAUCCGGUCCACUUUAACACUGAGGCGUGAUGACGAGGCACUACGGUGCUGAAGCAACAAAUGCCCUGCUUCCAGGAAAAGCCUCUAAGCAUCAGGUAACAUCAAAUCGUACCCCAAACCGACACAGGUGGUCAGGUAGAGAAUACCAAGGCGCUUGAGAGAACUCGGGUGAAGGAACUAGGCAAAAUGGUGCCGUAACUUCGGGAGAAGGCACGCUGACACGUAGGUGAAGU
rnacentral:rRNA from 1 species